rnacentral:rRNA from 1 species
CGCGUAGGCGGCUUUAUAAGUCUGGAGUGAAAGUCCUCUUUUCAAGGGAGGAAUUGCUUUGGAAACUAUAGAGCUUGAGUGCAGGAGAGGUUAUCGGAAUUCCCGGUGUAGCGGUGAAAUGCGUAGAUAUCGGGAGGAACAUCGGUGGCGAAGGCGGGUAACUGGACUGCAACUGACGCUGAGGAGCGAAAGCAUGGGGAGCGAACA